rnacentral:misc_RNA from 1 species
UCCGGUUUGUCACCGGCAGUCUCACAUGAGUCCCCAACUAAAUGCUGGCAACAUGCGACGGGGGUUGCGCUCGUUGCGGGACUUAACCCAACAUCUCACGACACGAGCUGACGACAACCAUGCACCACCUGUGAACCGGCCCCAAAGGGGAAGGACUGUUUCCAGCCCGGUCCGGUCCAUGUCAAGCCUUGGUAAGGUUCUUCGCGUCGCGUCGAAUUAAACCACAUGCUCCGCUGCUUGUGCGGGCCCCCGUCAAUUCCUUUGAGUUUUAGCCUUGCGGCCGUACUCCCCAGGCGGGGUGCUUAAUGCGUUAGCUUCGGCACGGAGGGAGUCGACACCCCCCCCACCUAGUGACCAUCGUUUACGGCGUGGACUAC